rnacentral:rRNA from 1 species
UACAGAGGCCUCGAGCGUUAGGCGGAAUCACUCGGCUUAAAGCGUGUGUAGGCGGACUUCUAAGUACCUUGUGAAAUCCCACGGCUCACCCGUGGAACUGCUUGGUAUACUGGUUGUCUUGAGCCUUCUAGGGGCGAGUGGAACAAAUGGUGGAGCGGUGAAAUGCGUAGAUAUUCGGAAGAACACCAGUGGCGAAGGCAGCGAACUGGCGCUCGAUUGACGCUCAGGCACGAAAGCAUGGGGAUCAAACAGG